CGAACUCUAUAGAAGUUAAUGUAUUUUGGUGACUCGUUUCUCUGGCAAAGAUAUGGAGGUUUUCAUUUGAUGGAAUCUGAUACUCGAUAUUCUUGCUUUUCUUUUAAUGAUGUUAACUUCCAUUCAUGUGGAAGAAAAGCAUGAAGGGCAUAUAUCUCCUCAAAACUUUUAUCCUGCAGCUGGACAUGUUAAAAUAUGGGAAGCAAUUCUCACACUUCUUUGUGUGGAUUCAUUAGUAAUUUUCAUCACUAGCAUGUACUCUCAUUAACAAACCAUUAUUUGUAUAAGGAGGUGCUAUCAAAAUUUGAGGCUUUGCAGUACACAAGAAUGAUAUGAUCUGUUAUUCUAAAUAUAAUAUAUUAAACAAGUUAUAUAUAUAUAUAUAUAUAUAUAAAAAUGGAUAUUAAAAGGAUACGCCAAGGGAAAGGAAAAAAGCUGGCAUCUGUAAGUGGCCAAACAAAUGUGUGUACUUUAUAAGCCACAUGAUGGAUCGACACAAGAAGAUCUCUGGAAGCAACAGAUCCCAGAACAAAACAAACUCUUAUUUUGAGGUUAACAAUCUUACCUGUUUGAAGGACAGUAAGUAGUUCAGCCAGGUCCAUGGGUAAGGUAAGGUUGGCCUUAGGUGAAGGUGAUUGAAAGAGAAGAACAAUAGAAGAU